CAGAAACAGGGAAGAAUCAUGAACUAUAACCAGAUAACAAGUGAUCCACGGGCUCACAGGAUUUAGAAGCUGAAGUAGUGGGGCCCGAAGCUGCUGGUGAUCUUGAUCUGAUUGCCUCAUCCACUGAUCUUGAUCUGGAGAUCUGAUGCCGUACAAAAAGACUGCACCUUGACUGUCUCUAUAACAGACAGCUCCCGAGCAAUGGGUGCUCAGACUAAUUUAAUUUUUUUAAAGACGCACAUGCCUAGGCUCUGAGAUAUGUAUCUGUUGGACAAUCAAAGGAGC